GUCUUUUCUUGGCUGUACAUAUACAAAAAUUGGAAUGAUAUAGAGAAGAUUAGCAUGACCCCUGUGCGGGAUGACAUGCAAAUUCGUGAGGAAUUCCAUAUUUUU